rfam:Chryseobacterium sp. IHB B 10212 strain IHBB 10212, complete genome.
CCCUAGCCCGGAUUGAAGCGGCAUCCUUUUUGGGGGCGGCCGAAGCGAAGCGCAGGACGUAACCAAAAAGAUAGAGCGGAAAGCCGGAUGAAGC